CGCGGGGUGGAGCAGCCCGGUAGCUCGUCAGGCUCAUAACCUGAAGGUCGUAGGUUCAAAUCCUACUCCCGCAACCA
rnacentral:tRNA from 17 species